rnacentral:rRNA from 1 species
CAACUUUCAACAACGGAUCUCUUGGCUCUCGCAUCGAUGAAGAACGCAGCGAAAUGCGAUAAGUAAUGUGAAUUGCAGAAUUCAGUGAAUCAUCGAAUCUUUGAACGCACCUUGCGCUCCUUGGUAUUCCGAGGAGCAUGCCUGUUUGA